CAGAGUUGUAAAACUCCCAAACCCAUGUGAACAUACCUGUUGCCCUCGGCGGCCUACCCGGCAGCUACCCUGUAGCUACCCUGUAGUCCGCCGACGGAAUAUAAAACUCUUGUUUUCAGUUGUUAUCUCUGAGAAUAAAACAAAUAAAUCA
rnacentral:misc_RNA from 1 species